AAUUUAUUCUCCUCUCAUGCGCACUACAUUCUGUGUUCCAGAUCUGUACAACUUGCACUAGAAUCACAGCACGGAACGAGCUUUACUUGGGCUACGGCUGAACCCGACUCCCCACGACUGACCUGGGAGACCGUGCCUGGCCAGGCUGCUCCCGACGACCCCACCCACAGCCGCCGGUCUCCACCCACGAAGCAGCCACUGCGGCGUCCUCACUGUGGUGGAGAGCAGCCGGGGCAGGGCAGCUCAGGAGGCCCGCACAGACGGCACGGCGGUGCACGGGGUGAGCGGAGGAGACCACACGCGUGCGGGCCUGCCUUCCCACCUACCUGCGGCCCCACUCCCCUCGGGCCAGUCCAGGGCACCUCCCUCAUCCCGAGCACCGAGAGCCUCAAUAAAACCUGCGGCCCCACUCCCCUCGGGCCAGUCCAGGGCACCUCCCUCAUCCCGCGCACCGAGAGCCUCAAUAAAACCCGUCUGGGACGGUUUUAUUCUGCUUACUUGUUAAUUCUACUCCAAGCAGACCAGGAGGUGCUGGCUGCACUAAGAACUGGUAACCCUAGGGGCUGCUUGUCCUGAAAACACCUGGCAUCAGAGAACUGCUAAGACCGAGGACAGUGGUGGCUAACCUACGGCACGCACGGUAUUUUUCUUUUAAGACAAAAGAUGUUAAAGUAUGAGUGGUUUCUCUCUAAACUGAACCCUUAACCCUCAGGUUGAACUGCAGUGUUGGCACUCUGAAACGAGUGGCUUCGGGCUGCAGUGUGGCGCUCAUCUCUAGAAGGUUCGCCAUGACUGAACCAGGAGCUGCAGGGAAAGCUGCGUAAGAGCUACUAGCUCCAGCCACUGUGGACUGCUAAGAGGGCUGCAAAGAGCUGCAGGAGGUGUUAACAUUAAGAGCUGGGAGCCGUGGCACUCAGAGCUGGAGCUGUUAACAGGGAGGGAGGGAGGCAGAUGCCCUUUGCCUUUCCACAAUUUCUACCCAAACCGCAUGCGCGCACACACAAAAUGAAACCUGAGCUGACUGGUAACAACAGGGCUAAAGCUAUCACUCAAUGGCAGGGUGCUUGCUUAGUAAGCAUGAAACCCUAGGCUUGACCCCCGGCAUCAAAAAGGGGGAGGGGGACUUAAAUAGAUAAUUCUCAAAAAUACACACACACACACACACACACACACACACACACACACACACACACGGCCAAGAAGAACACAGAAACAUGCUCAGCAUCACAAACCACUAGGGAAAUGCAAAUUAAAAUGAUGACUACUCAAGAGACUGAGUCAGAAGCAUCACAAGUUUAAGGCCAGGCUGUGUAGCCCAGCUCAAAAUAAAAACAGGGCUAAUGAUGUAGCUCAGUGGUACAGCACUUGCCUGGCAUACACAAAGCCCUGGCUUACACACAUGUGCAUACACGCACAUGCACAUACAUACAUACACAACCUUACAGUAAGACACUAUCUCACACCCACAACAAAGGUUACAAUCUAAAAAAAAAGCCAGGUAUGGGAGCACACAUCUGCAAUCCCAACAUUUUGGGCAGCAGCCAGGAGCAAUGGUACAUACCUGUAAUACUAGCACUUGGGAGGCUGAGGCAGGAAGAUUGCCAAGAGUUCCAGGUCAACCUGGGCUACAGUGAUUUCAAGGCCAGACUGAACUAUAUGGUGAGACCCUAUCUCAAAAAACAAACAAAACAAAACAUUUAGUUAAGAUGGUGGGUUAUGUUAUGUCUACCUUAGAGAGAGAACGAUGCUGUCACACCCGGACCCAUCCCUGACAGCUUCCAGACCCUAUCUCAAAAAACAAACAAAACAAAACAAACAAAAACAAACAAACAAAAAACAAAACCCAACAUUCUUGCAGGAGGAUUCAAGUUUAAGGCCAGCUUGUGGGCUACAGUAUGAUUCUGACGACAGCUUGGAACACAGUGAGACCCUGUCUCAAAAAACCAAAAUGACAGUAAGUACAGGAAGCAUGUGGAAGAAUUGGAACCCUGUGCCCUGCCGGUGGGAAUGAAAAUGGUACAACUGUUAUGAAAAACAGUACCGUGGUUCUUCAAAAACUAGAAGUACCACAUGCUACAGAAGUCUCACCGUGCAAACACAUCCAAGAAACUGAAACAGAGGCCCGAAGAAGUAUCUGUACCUCCACCUUCAUAACAGUACUAUGCACAACAGCCAAGGGAGGCAAAACCCCAAUGUUCA
rnacentral:lncRNA from 1 species